UACGGGGGCGAGCAGUGUUGGUGAAUUACUGGGCGUAAAGGGCGCGUAGGCGGCCUGCUAAGUCACACGUGAAAUCCCUCGGCUCAACCGGGGAACUGCGUGUGAUACUGGCGGGCUUGAAUUCGGGAGAGGGAUGUGGAAUUCCAGGUGUAGCGGUGAAAUGCGUAGAUAUCUGGAGGAACACCGGUGGCGAAGGCGGCAUCCUGGACCGGCAUUGACGCUGAGGAGCGAAAGCCAGGGGAGCAAACGGG
rnacentral:rRNA from 1 species